UAGAAAGAGGCAACAUCGCGGCGGAAUUUAAGAGGUAGAAGACUAUCAGUAGGAGGAGGAGAGCUGAUGAGACGAAGAGCCUUAGGGUGGUAUUGCUAGACGGAAGGUCGAGGACAAGUUACUUCCCAUGAAGUCAAGUCGUUACUGAGAGUACUUGAAAUGCCCGCCAAAAUACUGGAACAUGGUCGAGUGUCGAGGACACGGGUACCCCCGUGUCUUCGUCGAAAUCGUGAUUUAAAUUGUUAUCAGAAUUUAGACUGAAUGUAAAAAAUACAAUAAAUUAUAAAAUAAAUUUUCGGGAAAAAAAUAUCCUAUUAGGCAGAACACUAGUGUUUCUCUGAUAACAGUACCCGUUCCGCGUUUUACAAGAAUAAGGCGUCGUGACGACAACAAGCUCCCCCCUCCGGCCUGGCGUCACGCGGGAGAGGAAGGCUGCCGCCAUUACUACAAUUCAUCAUCCAUAUACAGAAAAAGCAGCAAUGGCAGCCUACAGACACCUGCUACGUAGAGUGGCUCACGUGGGACAAUGGGAAGACCUGGCCAUCAGGAGGAGAACCCGUUUGUUCAGGAGCCGUAGGGAUCCCUUUGAAAUGUACUCGGAAGAGGAGUUCACUCAACGCUUUCGGCUCUCCAAGCAAGUCACCCUGGAUCUCUUAUCAAAAAUCCAGCACCUAUUGCCAGAUUCUACCAGGAAAAGAGGGCUUCCAAUCCCACCACGUCUCCAGCUGCUGGUAACCCUCCGCUACUAUGCCACUGGGAGCUUCCAGCUUGACAUGGGGGAUUGCUGUGACAUGUCGCUGCCCAGUGUAUCUACCUGUGUCAAGACUGUGACCAGUGCAAUCUGCCAGCUAGCAGGGGACUACAUAAAGUUCCCCAGUCCUGCUGAAGAACAGGAUGUCAUGCGACAAUUUGCCGAGGUAGCUGCCAUGCCCGGAGUUAUUGGAUGUGUAGAUGGUGUACACAUCCCAAUCAUCAGUCCAGGUGGAGAAGAUGCAGAACUUUACCGCUGCAGGAAAGGCUUUUUUUCAUUGAAUAUAAUGGGGGUCUGCAACUCAUCCAUGCUCUUCACAAAUCUGGUCGUGAACUGGCAAGGUAGUGCACAUGAUGCCCGCAUCUUCAGUGAGUCUGUUUUGUGUGCUACUCUGGAGGGAGGGCAGUACAGAGGAUACUUGUUGGG